CGAAUUUAUUAGUUUCUGUAAGUUUAAAUUAAUAUAUGCUGUAAUUAUUAUAUAUAUGAAAUUUAGUCAAUUCUCUCCAUAUGAUUGACACAUCAUCACUUUAACAUUUGCCAUGUGUCUAUUAAAUAAUUAAUGUAAUCUCUUCAACUUUUAAUUUAUAAGUUAAUGAUAUAUUUAUUAUUUAAUUUUAGAUAUUAUUUUAUUUUACAUAUUUAGUUGUACUAUUACUAAAUUUAUUUUAAUAUUACAUGAUUUUUCAAUAAAA
rnacentral:sRNA from 1 species